GCCUCUUUAGCUCAGUGGUAGAGCGUUGGUCUCGUAAAUCAAAGGCCGAGAGUUCAAUCCUCUUAGGAGGCA
rnacentral:tRNA from 1 species